rnacentral:rRNA from 1 species
AUUGAACGCUGGCGGCAGGCUUAACACAUGCAAGUCGAGCGGUAGCACAGGGGAGCUUGCUCCCUGGGUGACGAGCGGCGGACGGGUGAGUAAUGUCUGGGAAACUGCCUGAUGGAGGGGGAUAACUACUGGAAACGGUAGCUAAUACCGCAUAACGUCGCAAGACCAAAGAGGGGGACCUUCGGGCCUCUUGCCAUCAGAUGUGCCCAGAUGGGAUUAGCUAGUAGGUGGGGUAAUGGCUCACCUAGGCGACGAUCCCUAGCUGGUCUGAGAGGAUGACCAGCCUCACUGGAACUGACACACUGCCCAGACUCCUACGGGAGGUAGCAGUGGGGAAUAUUGCACACUGGGCGCCAGCCUGAUGCAGCCAUGCCGCGUGUGUGAAGAAUGCCUUCGGGUUGUACAGCACCUUCCCCCCAGAUGUAAGGUGGCGAAUUCCACACUUUCUUCCCCUUGUUUUCCUCCGCCGACUAAUCACCGGCCAACUCCGUGCCACCAGCCCGCCGCAAUACUGGAGGGGUGCAAGCCUCCAUCUGAAUUUCUGCGCCUUAAAGCGCACGCAGGCGGUUUGUUAGUCAGAUGUGAAAUCCCCGGGCUCAACCUGGGAACUGCAUUUGAAACUGGCAAGCUAGAGUCUCGUAGAGGGGGGUAGAAUUCCAGGUGUAGCGGUGAAAUGCGUAGAGAUCUGGAGGAAUACCGGUGGUGAAGGCGGCCCCCUGGACGAAGACUGACGCUCAGGUGCGAAAGCGUGGGGAGCAAACAGGAUUAGAUACCCUGGUAGUCCACGCUGUAAACGAUGUCGAUUUGGAGGUUGUGCCCUUGAGGCGUGGCUUCCGGAGCUAACGCGUUAAAUCGACCGCCUGGGGAGUACGGCCGCAAGGUUAAAACUCAAAUGAAUUGACGGGGGCCCGCACAAGCGGUGGAGCAUGUGGUUUAAUUCGAUGCAACGCGAAGAACCUUACCUACUCUUGACAUCCAGAGAACUUAGCAGAGAUGCUUUGGUGCCUUCGGGAACUCUGAGACAGGUGCUGCAUGGCUGUCGUCAGCUCGUGUUGUGAAAUGUUGGGUUAAGUCCCGCAACGAGCGCAACCCUUAUCCUUUGUUGCCAGCGGUUCGGCCGGGAACUCAAAGGAGACUGCCAGUGAUAAACUGGAGGAAGGUGGGGAUGACGUCAAGUCAUCAUGGCCCUUACGAGUAGGGCUACACACGUGCUACAAUGGCAUAUACAAAGAGAAGCGACCUCGCGAGAGCAAGCGGACCUCAUAAAGUAUGUCGUAGUCCGGAUUGGAGUCUGCAACUCGACUCCAUGAAGUCGGAAUCGCUAGUAAUCGUAGAUCAGAAUGCUACGGUGAAUACGUUCCCGGGCCU